UAGAGGAAGUAAAAGUCGUAACAAGGUCUCCGUUGGUGAACCAGCGGAGGGAUCAUUACUGAGUUUACGCUCUAUAACCCUUUGUGAACAUACCUAUAACUGUUGCUUCGGCGGGUAGGGUCUCCGUGACCCUCCCGGCCUCCCGCCCCCGGGCGGGUCGGCGCCCGCCGGAGGAUAACCAAACUCUGAUUUAACGACGUUUCUUCUGAGUGGUACAAGCAAAUAAUCAAAACUUUUAACAACGGAUCUCUUGGUUCUGGCAUCGAUGAAGAACGCAGCGAAAUGCGAUAAGUAAUGUGAAUUGCAGAAUUCAGUGAAUCAUCGAAUCUUUGAACGCACAUUGCGCCCGCCAGCAUUCUGGCGGGCAUGCCUGUUCGAGCGUCAUUUCAACCCUCAAGCUCUGCUUGGUGUUGGGGCCCUACAGCUGAUGUAGGCCCUCAAAGGUAGUGGCGGACCCUCCCGGAGCCUCCUUUGCGUAGUAACUUUACGUCUCGCACUGGGAUCCGGAGGGACUCUUGCCGUAAAACCCCCAAUUUUCCAAAGGUUGACCUCGGAUCAGGUAGGAAUACCCGCUGAACUUAAGCAUAUCAAUA
rnacentral:rRNA from 2 species